AUUGAACGCUGGCGGCAUGCCUUACACAUGCAAGUCGAACGGUAACAGGUCUUCGGAUGCUGACGAGUGGCGAACGGGUGAGUAAUACAUCGGAACGUGCCCGAUCGUGGGGGAUAACGCAGCGAAAGCUGUGCUAAUACCGCAUACGAUCUACGGAUGAAAGCGGGGGACUCGCAAGGGCCUCGCGCGGACGGAGCGGCCGAUGGCAGAUUAGGUAGUUGGUGGGAUAAAAAGCUUACCAAGCCGACGAUCUGUAGCUGGUCUGAGAGGACGACCAGCCACACUGGGACUGAGACACGGCCCAGACUCCUACGGGAGGCAGCAGUGGGGAAUUUUGGACAAUGGGCGGCAAGCCUGAUCCAGCCAUGCCGCGUGCAGGAUGAAGGCCUUC
rnacentral:rRNA from 1 species